GGGGAAUAUUGCACAAUGGGGGAAACCCUGAUGCAGCAACGCCGCGUGAGUGAUGAAGGCCUUCGGGUUGUAAAGCUCUGUCUUUGGGGACGAUAAUGACGGUACCCAAGGAGGAAGCCACGGCUAACUACGUGCCAGCAGCCGCGGUAAUACGUAGGUGGCAAGCGUUGUCCGGAUUUACUGGGCGUAAAGGGAGCGUAGGUGGAUAUUUAAGUGGGAUGUGAAAUCCCCGGGCUUAACCUGGGGGCUGCAUUCCAAACUGGAUGUCUAGAGUGCAGGAGAGGAGAGUGGAAUUCCUAGUGUAGCGGUGAAAUGCGUAGAGAUUAGGAAGAACACCAGUGGCGAAGGCGACUCUCUGGACUGUAACUGACACUGAGGCUCGAAAGCGUGGGGGGCAAACA
rnacentral:rRNA from 1 species